AAUUAGAAGUAGAUUCUCUUGUCUCAGGGGAGGCGUCUGCACCGCUUUGUAGAGACUGCAAUGCACUUUCUCGAAGCCGUUUCACCCAUUUACAUGCCCCGAGCAGCGAGUGUGAGUUCCAGCUGCUCUGUCCUCAUCAACACUGGGUAUUGUCCCUCCUGUUCAUGUGGCCUUGGGGUUACCGCAAUUUUAAGGAGUUGUUGGCAUGGAAGUUUACAGCAGGAGAAUGUCAGCAACGCUCACAGCCGUCGCCCUGGGGCUGAGAGUCUCAGGAAAGGGACUGCGGGAGGAACGCUGCCAGCAGGAAUGGGCUCCUGGAAAAUGACAUUUCUAACCACAAUUUUGCAAAGUAGCGGCACUGUUUCAUGGUUGCGGUUAACGCGCUGAGAGCGCAGUUGCCCAUACAGAGUGCCCGGGUCAUGGGAGGCAUCAGUGUUUGCCGAAAUCAGAAGAGCUAUUGCAGAAUCCCCUGUGGCCCAGCAGAAACAAAUCCUUCUAGUAUCCAUGAGGGUGUGGGUUCUAUCCCUGGCCUCGCUCAGUGUGUUAAGGAUCCGGCAAUGGCACAAGCUGUGGUCACGGAUGUGGCUCGGUCAGAUCUGCUAUUGCUGUGGCUGUGGUGUAGGCCGGCAGCUGUAGCUCCGAUUCGACCCCUAGCCUGGGAACCUCCAUAUGCCGCGGCAGAAGGAAUAAGUUAAGAAAAAGGUGUUAGCUUGAAAUUUAUAAGGCAGCAUGCUGGGUUUGCCAGUAAGAGAAAACCCAAUUGCUCAGCCAGACUUUGAAAAAUAUUAUUUUUCAACAUCUGAGUGAAAACAGAUGUUGUUUCCUGUUACAGCAACGAGCUAUACAUGCUCUGACGUCCACCAGCGCCAGGCCGUUCUUUCUCCCUCCAGGAGCACAAGGCAAGUGACAAUGAGCAGAACUCCAGCUUUGUCCUCCUCUGUCAUUUGCCUGGUGACAAGCGGGCGGGACGACGGCUCCCCUACGGGACGAAAUUUCAUCACGGCGGCCCUCCUCCUCACCUGCACAGCUGGCCAUGUCAGGCCUGUGCAUCCUGGCUGGGGACCGCUGACAGUGGGGACUUUCUUUUUCACUGGGUGCGGGGGUUGGAUUGCUGGCUGACUGUCUGACGGCUUUUUCCUCAGUCCCCACUGAUUGGGUUUUUCCAGCUUUGAAAGUGGGCUUUGCCUCCUCGCCCAGGCAAACAGUAAUUUAUGCUGGGACUACAGGUGGGCAUACGACAGACUCGUCCUUUCAAUCACCUGCAGCUUCCGGCGGGGCCGUCACCGGACAGCGUACCUGGCCUCACCCUGCCGCCACUGCCCGGGGUUCUCUGUACCUGCCCUUUUCUUCCUUCCAGGACCCCCCACCCCACCCCCGCAGCCCGCCGCAGCUGACACCUGCUCACAUUGCCCCUCCAUCAUGUGGACUCAGUCACGCCUUCCAAAGGGUCUUCAUCCAGCAUUAGAUUUCUUUGACACCUUAAUAAGCCACCCUGUAAUAAACCACACACACAAAACACUACUACUCACUCUGCUUUGGCAGCCCGAGCUAUUGUUUUGCUUGACUUGUGAAGAAUUAGACCCAAGGAAGCCGCUGGUCUUUUCAGGCAUUGCUAAGCGCACAGUGAUGCCUGGCGGGCUCUCACACGUCAGCAGGGACCACAGGACCCGGCACCUGCUGGGACAGAGCAAUGGGACAGAGGGACGGUCGGAAGGCAGGAAGGUGCACUGGCGGGGAGCCCCGAACCCUGGACGGGCUCAGGCCCAUGCCAGGGUUCAGGCCCAGAGGAUCGCUGGUGCUCCUCUGAAGCCGUGGGCCCACCGGGCAGCCCGCGGGAGCCCUGCAACCCGGGAGAGCCAGCCACGUUCUCCGGCUGCUCUGUGCAGCGCAGGAGCUUCUGCCCACUGAGCACUUGAAACGCGGCUCAUGAAAAUGCAGAAAUGAAUUUUAAUUUUAUUGACCACCAAUUAAUUCACAGUUUUAUUUAAAUAGCCACAUGUGGCCACAGUGACUUUAUAGGACGGCACGGCUUUGGAGAGAAAUAAUCCGGCCUUGUAUUGAUAUUUACUUUCAUCUGACAAAGAAACUAACUGCAUCAGCAUUUAAUAUUCAGAGUGGGCCUGGGGCUCUCACUGAGUUGGCCUGUUGAGGGUCACUGUCGUGGGCUUUCCAGGGGCCUGGCCAGGAGGUCUCGGUCAGAGCCUAACAGUGGCUCCUGAGAGGCUUGUUCAAAAUCUCAUAAACAGCCUAGGUGCGUCUUUUACUGGAUUUGCAACUUAUCUGGUGUUAAGGAAAACUAAUCACUGCCAAGUGGAACACUGAUUUAAAAGAGAAUCCUGGAGCUCCUGUUGUGGCUCAGCAGGUUAAGGACCUGAAGUGGUCUCUGUGAGGAUGUGGGUUCAAUCCCUGGCCUCACUCAGUGGUUGCCACGAACUGUGGUAUAGUUUGCAGGUGCAGCUUGCAUCUGGUGCUGCUGUGGCUGUGCUGUAGGCCGGCAGCUGCAGCUCCCAUUUGACCCCUAGUCUGGGAACUUCCAAAUGGUGCAAGUUCGGCUCUUAAAGAAAGAAAGAAAGGGAAAAAAGAGAGAAUCCUGCUCAGAAUGGCAGAUUCACGGUCUCUUGGGUGCAGCAGACAGACGAGGGGACACCUGCUCCAAGCUGACGAAGCCACAGGAUGCAGAGUGACCAAGACUGAGUCACAGAUUUGCUCUCCCCACUGUCCAGGAUGACUCUCCCCGAAGUGUAAGUGGUGUCUUAACAUAUUGGCUAACAGUAGCAUAAAAUCACCGAGAUGAGAGAGACACUUGAGGAUC
rnacentral:lncRNA from 1 species